rnacentral:rRNA from 1 species
UGGGGAAUAUUGCACAAUGGAGGGAACUCUGAUGCAGCGACGCCGCGUGAGUGAUGAAGGAAUUCGUUUCGUAAAACUCUGUUCUAUGGGAAGAAAAGGACUGUACCAUAGGAGAAAGCUCCGGCUAAAUACGUGCCAGCAGCCGCGGUAAUACGUAUGGAGCGAGCGUUGUCCGGAAUUAUUGGGCGUAAAGGGUGCGCAGGCGGCUUUACAAGUUGGAUGUGAAAUAUUGUGGCUCAACCACAAACGUGCAUCCAAAACUGCAAAGCUUGAGUUAAGGAGAGGUAAGUGGAAUUCCUGGUGUAGCUGUGUAAUGCGUAGAUAUCAGGAGGAAUACCGGUGGCGAAGGCGACUUACUGGACUUAAACUGACGCUCAGGCACGAAAGCGUGGGGAGCAAACAGG